UCUCCGAUACAAACCAACCCCCCCUCCCUUCUCCCCCCCCCCCCGUGCUCGCCGAAUGAUUUCAACUCUCGCUAAGCGGUUUAAUGUCGCCGCAUUUUCAAUUUAAAACGACCGAAACUCUUUCUGCCCCGUCCUCUUCAAGACGCCAUCGCUUCGUUACCGUUGCGACGAGUGGAUUAACCAACUCCGCCUCAUCAUUUGGUGCGCGCAGUGACAAGGACGGCAACGUGGGAAUGUUGGCCGAUACAAACUGAUCCACCACCUUAUCAACAGCAGCAUCAGCAGAAGCCACUACAUCGCUAUCAACAGCAUCAUCAGCAGAAGCAGCCACUACAUCGCUAUCAACAGCAUCAUCAGCAGAAGCAGCCACUACAUCGCUAUCAAC